rnacentral:lncRNA from 1 species
AGUAAACAGCACUCCUCCACAGCCUCUGCAUCAGCUCCUGCUCCAGGUUCCUGCCUCAUGUUUGGCUGAAAGUGGAUAAAGCUCUAUUGUAAGAGACCCCGUGGGGUAGAAAGCAGGAAGAGCUGUGUAGUUUGAAGCAACAAGCCAGAAAGACAUAUCCUAUGUUCCUGGCCUGUGUGUACCUCUGUACCUGGGGACCAUUCAUGUUCCUUCAUGGACCAGAUCACAUCUACUGGCGUGGAGACCAGAGGCCAGAUUUAAGCUUUUCUUGCAGUCUCCGUGACAUUGGGCUGUAUGUGCCUCAUUAGAUGGGAUUCCAUCCAGUGCGUCCCAGGAACCGCCCUGCCAUCUCACUUAAGAUUCUUAGCAACCUAGUCCCCACCAAGGGAGAGGAAUCAGAGCCUGUGGUUGUAAUUCAUCACCUCGACCUUUCUCGCAACUCCUUUCUGGAUACAAGUAGUGGUGAUGACCUGCCUCCAGCUGGCCCUGAGGAUUCAACAGAGGAAUGGCAGCAAGACCCGACUACUGUCCAGGGGCUGCUGCUGACCGCGGUACAAAGCGAGCAGUGAAGGCGUACAAGAAGUCCGAGUGCCAUGCUACUGCAACUGAGCAUCCAGGCUAUGAAGUGCAAUCCGGCUACGCUGCCCAGCACCAGAACACAUGCUAGCUUCUGGUAGAGUUUGGACUAUAAAGAACCACCAGCUGGAGGCUCCUGGGUUUUGAGCGCUGGUAGCUCUCUGAAGCUUAAGUGAGGAUUUCUUGCAAUUCCCUUCUGUCUUGUCACAUGCUUAAAAACAAGUCAAAAA